rnacentral:rRNA from 1 species
GACGAACGCUGGCGGCGUGCUUAACACAUGCAAGUCGAACGAAGAGCGAUGGAAGCUUUCUUCUAUCAAUCUUAGUGGCGAACGGGUGAGUAACGCGUAACCAACCCGCCCUUUUGAGGGGGACAACAGUUGGAAACGACUGCUAAUACCACAUACGCUCUGACCUCGGUAUCGAGGAUAGAUGAAAGGUGGCUUCUACUUGUAAGCCAUCACUGAAGGUGGGGAUUGCGUCUGUUGAGCAAGUUGGAGGGGUAACGGCCCACCAAGGCGAUGGUGAGUAGCCGGUAUGAGAGGAUGAACGGCCACCUUGAGAGGGAGACAGGGCCCAGUCGCCUUCGGGAGGCAGCAGUGGGGAAUCUUCCGGAAUGGGCGAGAGUCUGUCGGAGAAACGCCGCGGCAGUGAUGACGGACGCCGGGUUGUAAAGCUCGGUUAAUCGGGACGAAAGGCCUUUUUGCGAAUAGUAAGAGGGAGUGACGGUACCGGAAUAGAAAGCCACGGCUAACUACGUG